GGUAGCCAAGUGGUCAAGGUAUUGGAUUAUGGCUAGCAUGACAUGAGUUCGAGCCCCAUUACCA